rnacentral:SRP_RNA from 9 species
UGUUGGUUCUCCCGCAACGCUACUCUGUUUACCAGGUCAGGUCCGGAAGGAAGCAGCCAAGGCAGAUGACGCGUGUGCCGGGAUGUAGCUGGCAGGA